GGCUGCUAGCCCAAGCCACCACCCGUAGUACUCCCAGCUACACUGCUAUUUUUAGCACGCUAUCUUGAGCAGAGCUAGUGCAUCUGUCUACCCACUCCACCCAAGUACACUCCCAGGUGCAAUGUAGACAUAUACUGGUGGAUAGUGCAGACAGUGGUAAAAAGGACUAAAGGGAACAUUGAAUAGAAGCUAGUAUUUGGCACUGGUGAGACCACUAAUACAAUGCAGUGUCCAUUUUAAAGUGUGGAUACCAAAAAAAAAGCAUACUGAAAAUCUGGAGAAAAUUCACAGACAAGCUACAAGAACAAGUAGAGUUCUAGAAAACAAGAUCUGGUGGUCACUUUAUUUAAUCUUAACAAAAAGAAUGGUAAGAGGAAUUUGAUCAUGGUCGGAAUUACCCACACAGGUUGAUGUUAAGAUUGUUCAGUUUAGCAGACAGACUCAAAGGCUGUAGGAAAAAUUCAAAACUGGAAAUCAGAGGCAAAAUUUUCCCUAGUGGAAGCUAAUCAACCAUUGAAAGAUAUUAUCAAGGGAUGUUGUAACAUUCUUCCUCACUAUUUUGAUUAAAAUGCCAAGUACUAGGUCUUUCUAAAAGAUAUGCUGUAGUUCAACCACAAGUUAUAAACCUGUUGCAGGAAUCACUGUGUGAAAUUCUAUGUCCUGUGUUAUGCAGAAGGUCAGACUAAACUGUUAUAAUAAUCCCCUUUUCCUCAAAAAAAAAAAAAACAUUAUGAAUCUAAAAAAAUCCUAUAGAGUCAUCUUACUUACGGAGCUUGCCAGGGAAUAUAUUGCCCAGGAAUUAAGUUUUUCUAACCCGACAGGCUCCCUAUGAGGAGACAAACAGCUGCAAUAGUAUGGGUCAAAGAUGGCAGCGUAAAAAGGCUCACUAAAUACACAAAUAUGUGAAUGAGAGAGUUUAAAAGCUUAUAGUGGACUUUAGAAACCUCUGCCCCCAGCACUUGCUUUCAGGGAGUAAGCUGCCACCACUUGUCUGAUCGCCAGAUUUCACAUCUGUUUGAGCCAGGUCCUCCACUCCCUCUCCCAGAUGCAGAAAGGUUAGUAGAGUAAGUGCGUUGCACUCUGCAGAAGCUGUCAAAAAGCUCCUGCAGGUAGUUCAGAGCACAGAGAAAUCCUCAUCCGGGAAAGCAUUUUCAGACUGAGCAUGGAAAGAACUUGGAUGCUACAAGGAUGAGCACUACAGAAAGCCAUAAAGUAGCCUCGUCUCAAGUGGGAGGAAACCUAUUAGUUUGAUCCACGUUGCUUUGAUUGAACUGUUGUCAUUGUUGAGAGGGAGUUGGUGCACAAAAUUAAUCAUGGCAAUUUCAAUUCCAAGAGCUAUAAAGAGAGGCUGUAAAUCAGGUCAAACAAUACCAGGAGAAAACAAAUGGCAAGUGAAAAAAACCCAGUGAGGAACAGAAUAUGCCAAAGUAGGCCUCAAAGACUGAGAUGAUAAACCCUGGAGGAAAUACAAGUAGAAAGAGUUAAUUAUGGACCCCAAACAGAGAUAAUAAAGUGAGAAAAUUAAUAGCAAGAUUCUGCUAUAGAAAGUUGAAAUACAAAGCUUUUUGAUAAAAAACCAAAGCACUGGACAAUCAAAGUUAUCCAGACAAAGCGAAGCUAUGUCUAUGCUGUGCUGCAGUGAAAAUGACCCCGGGGGUGGGGGAGAGAGGGAUGGAGGAAGAAGGGGUGAAUUGCAGAGCGCACCAAAAUGUUGCACACUAUCUGCCCUGGGUAGACACUGCUGGUGUUAACUAAAAGGUACCUACAGUAUGCGUUAACGUGGUCCUCUUUCAAAAAGGACUACAUUCAUGCGACCUAAAUACCUUUUCAUUCGCACCAGCAGUGUCCACACAGGGCAUUUAGUGCAUGACAUUUAGGUGCAUUCUACAGUUCACCUCCCAGUCAUCUGCACUGCGGCACACUACAGGCAAGACCUGGGAUACAAUACUGCAUGAAAUAUUAUACUGCAUCAGAAGGAGACUGGAAAAAAAGUAAAUUUUAUCUAGUACUCCAACUUAGGUUUAUGAUUAAAGAACGUGAUUAAAGAUGUGCAGAUGCCACUUCAACUUCACGAAGAUCAGACAUCAGCCUGGUAAUUCAAGCUACAGAAAAGACACAGUGUUAGAAAAUAAGGAUAUUUAUUUCAGCAGAGAAUGUUUUAGAAGAACAUAGUAAGUGCUGGGUGAAAAUGAAAUGGAUAAGACAGUGGAAUGAAAAGAAUACAGAAGGGAAAUACAAAUUGUUCAGUGAUAACAUAAGCUAAAAAGUUACACAUGCCAUCCACCAAUAAAGAAACCAGUUAUUAAAUAUUGAAAUCCAGUGUAGAUAAACUCUCUGAAAAUAAGCAAAUGGGAACAGAAGGCUACAUCAGGGAAAAAUUGUAGAAUAUAACGUCAAAAUGACAAACUCGCUAAGAAAUAAAACAAAAAUUACACUAGAGGGCGCUGGCAAUACAAACUGCAGGACAACAAUGAGAGUUCAGAAUUACUUGUUUAAACCAAGACAGUAGGCAAUUCAAGUAGGAAAUUAAAUGGGAAAAUAACCGAGUACAAGUUAAACAGAUAGGAAAUAUACUAUCAACUAUAGAUGUAUGCUAUAAAUAAUGUACUGUACACUUGUCAGAAGUAGUGUCGGUACUAUUUAAAGGGAGAAUGCAUUUGUAUUGUGGUGUGCCAUUGUGGUCACAUUUUCAUGAAGAGGAAGUGAUAAGGGAUCAUGUGACACAGACCUAGAUAGCUGCUUCAUUCACACUGAGCUCUGGCUCCAUUCCUUACUGCUCUGAUAAAACCACUACCUAGAACAGCUUAUUGAAGUAAAAUAAGAUUUUUCAAUGCCAUAAAAUGUAUCUUUUUUAAAAAAGGAUUGAGACUUUGAUCAGUACAAAACAGAAGCUGCAGCAGCAGCCUCCUAGCACUGAUAAUAAACACAAUGGUGCCAGCAACAGCAUAUCCUCAAAUACCAUCAUGAAAGAACAAGAAAGCUUGACAGCUGGAAUUGUGGAAGAAAUUGCACAGAACCAUACCAUACACAGUAAUGGGGAAAAGAGGUUUAAGAAUUUCUCAUCCACUCUGCAUUCUGUCCCGGUGGAGAUGUCCCCUAAAUGGAAAGUUCUGAUGGAGAAUCGCAGUGAUAGACCAAUGAGUAUUAUUAACAGAGGAGACUCAGCAGAAACACAAAGACAGAUUCUGGGAUAAAGAGAAAAAAAACUGCAGCUGCUUGAGAAACAAGCAGAAGAUAGCAAGUACAGGUUACAGGAAAAAAUUAUUUGAACUGAGCGACUCUCUGCAUUCAGAGAGUUACUAUGAGCUAUUUUGGUACAGUUCCACAACUAUAAAGACAGACACACUCUUUUGGAGCACAUACACUUCGGAGCACUUUGGACCUUUCAUUGUGUGUUCAGUGCCUAGCACAAUGGGGCUCCAACUCCUGGUGGCGGUCUCCUGUCACUAUCACAAUAUAAAUAAUAAAAUAAUAAGAAACUGCUGCAAUUAAAGAGGAUUAAUCAGCAUAAUGGCAAGAACAUCAGUUUUAGCAUUAGAGAAAUCACACAUCUUUUAGCCCAAUGAGCAAGUUCCGCAAGAAACAUGGUCACAGAUCUAACACCAUCUAUUCAGCUGU